CCUACGGGUGGCAGCAGUGAGGAAUAUUGGUCAAUGGCCGUAAGGCUGAACCAGCCAAGUCGCGUGAAGGAAGAAGGAUCUAUGGUUUGUAAACUUCUUUUAUAGGGGAAUAAAGGUAUCCACGUGUGGAUAUUUGCAUGUACCCUAUGAAUAAGCAUCGGCUAACUCCGUGCCAGCAGCCGCGGUAAUACGGAGGAUGCGAGCGUUAUCCGGAUUUAUUGGGUUUAAAGGGAGCGUAGGCCGCAUGUCAAGCGUGCUGUGAAAUGUCCGGGCUCAACCCGGGCCUUGCAGCGCGAACUGGCGUGCUUGAGUCCGCGGAAAGCAGGCGGAAUUCGUCGUGUAGCGGUGAAAUGCUUAGAUAUGACGAAGAACCCCGAUUGCGAAGGCAGCUUGCUGCAGCGGAACUGACGCUGAUGCUCGAAAGCGCGGGUAUCGAACAGGAUUAGAUACCCCUGUAGUC
rnacentral:rRNA from 1 species